rnacentral:rRNA from 1 species
CCUACGGGCGGCAGCAGUGGGGAAUAUUGGACAAUGGGGGGAACCCUGAUCCAGCCAUGCCGCGUGUGUGAAGAAGGCCCUCGGGUUGUAAAGCACUUUCAGUGAGGAAGAACGCCUGGUGGUUAAUACCCAUCAGGAAAGACAUCACUCACAGAAGAAGCACCGGCUAACUCCGUGCCAGCAGCCGCGGUAAUACGGAGGGUGCGAGCGUUAAUCGGAAUCACUGGGCGUAAAGCGCGCGUAGGUGGCUUGAUAAGCCGGUUGUGAAAGCCCCGGGCUCAACCUGGGAACGGCAUCCGGAACUGUCAAGCUAGAGUGCAGGAGAGGAAGGUAGAAUUCCCGGUGUAGCGGUGAAAUGCGUAGAGAUCGGGAGGAAUACCAGUGGCGAAGGCGGCCUUCUGGACUGACACUGACACUGAGGUGCGAAAGCGUGGGUAGCAAACAGGAUUAGAUACCCGUGUAGUC